rnacentral:lncRNA from 1 species
CAGCUCUGGGCUGCAUGAUUAUGAGAGCUGAGCCUCAGCUCCCACUUUGCUGUCAUCGUCAGCAUUCAUAACCAGUGCUGAAAGGCGUUGGUGGUGAGAAUCAAGCCCUGGUGCAGCUCCAGGUGACUGCUGCCUUCCUUCCCCCAGAGCCUCGGCACACACUGCAUGAAUAUCACCAUGCAGGGGCUGCCAUCACUCUGCUGGAUAACCAGCCUUCAUCAAAACAGUGCUGGAGCAAUCGAGGAGCAGACUGGGACCUACCUUGCAGAGAAAAGGGGAUGAGGAAUCUACUUACACCAUUAUAUUGACCUUCUGCUUUGUUUUCAUUUGAUUGGGAAAUACUUCUGCAAGGCAUUAUGGAAAAGUCUGCUGGGUUUUUGUCCUGCUCCCUCCCAGGCAGAAAAGCAGGCAUAGCUGGGGAAGAUGGAGUGGAUUUUGAUGGCACCAUACAGAAUCUGAGGAGGUCCAGGACUGUCCCUUCCAUGCUGAGACAUCUGCAGAGCUGGGACAUGAAGACCCCUGUGGGGUGUUGUGUAGGGAAAGAGUGGAGCAGGAUAAAGAUGACCAUGGAUGGAUGGAAAGAGUGGUCACCUAUGAGAGCAGCUUUGGUCUCCGUGCUGCAGGUACAUCAGCUCCUGGGAAAUGCUUACCUAUCAAUGCAGCUGUGCAGGAACUCCAGGCUUUCUGUGUGGUGGUGUCCCAAGGAGCAGAAGACAAGCUACCCACAGUUUGGGUGUAGGCAUGUAUGCUGUGUUUCUGACAUGGCUCAUAGGCUCCCAGAAAAUUGCUGUUUUCACUUCUGCAGUGUUUUGCCCAAAAUUUAG